GUGUCAGCAGCCGCGGUAAUACGUAGGCAGCAAGCGUUGUUCGGAAUUACUGGGCGUAAAGAGUGCGUAGGUGGUUGGUCAAGUUUGGUGUGAAAUCUCCCGGCUCAACUGGGAGGGUGCGCCGAAAACUGGCUGGCUAGAGUGUGGGAUAGGGAAGCGGAAUUCCUGGUGUAGCGGUGAAAUGCGUAGAUAUCAGGAGGAACGCCUGCGGUGUAGACGGCUUCCUGGACCAUGACUGACACUGAGGCACGAAAGCGUGGGUAGCAAACAGGAUUAGAUACCCUAGUAGUCC
rnacentral:rRNA from 1 species